rnacentral:rRNA from 1 species
AACGAACGCUGGCGGCAUGCCUAACACAUGCAAGUCGAACGAGACCUUCGAGUCUAGUGGCGCACGGGUGCGUAACGCGUGGGAACCUGCCCUUAGGUUCGGAAUAACUCCCCGAAAGGGGUGCUGAUACCGGAUAAUGUCUUCGGACCAAAGAUUUAUCGCCUUUGGAUGGGCCCGCGUUGGAUUAGCUAGUUGGUAGGGUAAAAGCCUACCAAGGCGACGAUCCAUAGCUGGUCUGAGAGGAUGAUCAGCCACACUGGGACUGAGACACGGCCCAGACUCCUACGGGAGGCAGCAGUGGGGAAUAUUGGACAAUGGGCGAAAGCCUGAUCCAGCAAUGCCGCGUGAGUGAUGAAGGCCUUAGGGUUGUAAAGCUCUUUUACCCGGGAUGAUAAUGACAGUACCGGGAGAAUAAGCUCCGGCUAACUCCGUG